rnacentral:rRNA from 1 species
GACGAACGCUGGCGGCGUGCCUAAUACAUGCAAGUCGAACGCUUCUUUUUCCACCGGAGCUUGCUCCACCGGAAAAAAAAGAGUGGCGAACGGGUGAGUAACACGUGGGUAACCUGCCCAUCAGAAGGGGAUAACACUUGGAAACAGGUGCUAAUACCGUAUAACAAUCGAAACCGCAUGGUUUGAUUUGAAAGGCGCUUUCGGGUGUCGCUGAUGGAGGGCUCCGCGGUGCAUUAGCUAGUUGGUGAGGUAACGGCUCACCAAGGCCACGAGGCAUAGCCGACAGGAGCGGGUGAUCGGCCACAUUGGGACUGAGAGAAGCCCCAAACUCCGACGGGAGGCAGCAGGAGGGAAUGUUCGGCAACGGACGAAAGUCUGACUGAGCAACGCCGCGUGAGUGAAGAAGGUUUUCGGUUCGCAAAACUCUGUUGUUAGAGAAGAACAAGGAUGAGAGUAACUGUUCAUCCCUUGACGGUAUCUAACCAGAAAGCCACGGCUAACUACGUGCCAGCCGCCGCAGUAA